GUGGCCUUUAAGAAUCAGGGAGCUGGAGAAAGGAUCACCGAAGCAAUUAACAAGGAAGGAUGGUAGAAUUUGAACAUGCAGCACUAUACAGCUUUCCAGCAUCAUCUCAAGGCGUCGAUAUUGAUAUUGUGGCCAACACUGUUACACCAUGAAAAAUAUAUCUUUUUGUGACAGUGUUAGAGUAUAUGAAAUUAUGCAAUCCUUAAGGAAAAAUGAAAUAAAGAAGCUGGUAGUAUGUAAGGGUUCUUAUCAGACCCCCUCCCCCCCAAGUCAUACCAGUUUGUUCCCCUUUGGGUUUGAUCAAAAGAAAAAACAGGGUACAUUUAGAAUGAUUCAACACCUGCCAUAUCUAUAGGGAAAUAAAAAUAAUGAUGCUCUCAA